rnacentral:miRNA from 1 species
UUGUGAGAUUGAAGCUGAUGG